rnacentral:tRNA from 2 species
UGGGGCGUUGCCAAGUGGUAAGGCAACGGGUUUUGGUCCCGCUAUUCGGAGGUUCGAAUCCUUCCGUCCCAG